rnacentral:lncRNA from 1 species
AUGCAGCAGUAUAAGUGACCCACUGUUGCUGUUGCCACUGCUGAAAUGCACCAUCACCUCGUUGUGCUCACAUCCACUGUUCGGUGUCCAGAAACAUUCAGCAAGCGUCAAUGAAUGUCAGUGGGUACAAUUUUUUUCUGCAUAGAGGAAUUUACUAACACAUUUUUUCUCCAUACACACUUCCAUGUCAGAUACCACUCUGUCAGACUGCCUCUCUGCUGCCAUCUGUUGCAUGGCAACAACAUGUAAUGUCAUAGUGGUGGGAAGGUUCAUUCUAUACUGCCGUACCACCACAAUUCACCUCUAGUGUUGUGGGCCAUCAUAAUAAAAUAGAAGGUUUCUGAAGAAAUAAAAGAAGACUAAAGACAAAGAAAUGAAAGAAAAGGCUGUAGAAAACACACAAAUUCAGAUUUAGAAACAAAAGGAGGCCAGGUAUAGGAAAAUAUAAGAAUCAAAGAAGACAUGCAUGAAUGGCAUACAAAACCAAUGGCUCGCUCUCUAUUUGGAAGGAGGAAAAGAAUCACCUUCAUAGUUAUAAGGAGAAUGAAGGACGAAGUUACCGAGAACAGAAUGCCACUCGGUGGAUGGACAAUGGCAGUGAAGGUGGAUGGAGACGCCACGGAUGGAGCAUCCCAGGGAUCCCAUAGGAUUCAGCCCGGGAUGCUGCUGCAGGUCCGUACCUGGGAGCGCAGUGGGGUUCUGCGCGGGGCCGGGCAGUGCAGCAUCGCCACUGGGGGCAUCGCCUGCCAAGCAAAGAGACAUGUUAGCGUGGGACUCCAGUCUGAAUAGGGGCUUGGUGGCGUCCGAUGGGACAUUAUGGCAAAAUCCCAGGGGACAUUUGAACAAUUGCUGCAUUAUACACUGCCUGUGGAAAAGCUGAUUGGGGAGUAUCAUAUUCAUGCUGUCAGAAAAAUUUU